rnacentral:rRNA from 1 species
UAAGUAAGCUUUGAUCCAGAGAUUUCCGAAUGGGGAAACCCAGCAUGAGUUAUGUCAUGUUAUCGAUAUGUGAAUACAUAGCAUAUCAGAAGGCACACCCGGAGAACUGAAACAUCUUAGUACCCGGAGGAAGAGAAAGAAAAUUCGAUUCCCUUAGUAGCGGCGAGCGAAACGGGAAGAGCCCAAACCAACAAGCUUGCUUGUUGGGGUUGUAGGACACUCUAUACGGAGUUACAAAGGACGACAUUAGACGAAUCAUCUGGAAAGAUGAAUCAAAGAAGGUAAUAAUCCUGUAGUCGAAAAUGUUGUCUCUCUUGAGUGGAUCCUGAGUACGACGGAGCACGUGAAAUUCC